AGCAGCAGCCACGGUAAUACGUAGGUGGCAUGCGUUGUCCGGAAUUAUUGGGCGUAAAGGGCUCGCAGGCGGUUUCUUAAGUCUGAUGUGAAAGCCCCCGGCUUAACCGGGGAGGGUCAUUGGAAACUGGGAAACUUGAGUGCAGAAGAGGAGAGUGGAAUUCCACGUGUAGCGGUGAAAUGCGUAGAGAUGUGGAGGAACACCAGUGGCGAAGGCGACUCUCUGGUCUGUAACUGACGCUGAGGAGCGAAAGCGUGGGGAGCGAACAGGAUUAGAUACCCGCGUAGUCCCUGUCUCUUAUAC
rnacentral:rRNA from 1 species